ACAUCACCGGACUAAACGUGUGUUGAACACGGAGGUGCCGUGGUUCGGCACAUAGAUGAAAUCCACCGCGUUCAUUGUAACGCUUCCGUUUAGCGAUCUUUAAAGGAGCUGGGGUGGAAGAGGAGGAGGAGCAGGAGCCAAUGGAGGAGGCACCGUCACUAGGUGUGGGGAGGACCAGCAGGAGCCGACGGAGAAGGCGUCGCCGCUGGAUGUGGGAAAGGAGGAUGUGGAUCUAUGGCCGGAGUAGCAGGCCAUCCUAAACUCCAUCCGUUUGAAGUCGGCCGUGGAGGCCACUAGUCUUGGUCGGCAGCAGAUGGAGGCGGCGCUGACGGCUCGGGCCAUCUUCGACGAUGACGAAGAGUAGUAUAGUACGUAGUAUGUAGAUUAUUCAUUUUUUAAUGAUUUUAUAUGAAUCUAAUGAAUGAAAUAUGAAAGAGAUGGACAUGG